rnacentral:ncRNA from 1 species
AAAGGGGUGCCGAAAAUUGGCUGAGAUUAUACCCUCCGAACCUGAUACGGGCAAUGCCGGCGCAGGGAUUGUAGCAUUCU